rnacentral:rRNA from 1 species
ACGGUACCGUAAGAAGAAGCACCGGCUAACUACGUGCCAGCAGCCGCGGUAAUACGUAGGGUGCGAGCGUUAAUCGGAAUUACUGGGCGUAAAGCGUGCGCAGGCGGCUUUGUAAGACAGGUGUGAAAUCCCCGGGCUUAACCUGGGAAUGGCGCUUGUGACUGCAAGGCUCGAGUGCGGCAGAGGGGGGUGGAAUUCCACGUGUAGCAGUGAAAUGCGUAGAGAUGUGGAGGAACACCGAUGGCGAAGGCAGCCCCCUGGGUCGACACUGACGCUCAUGCACGAAAGCGUGGGGAGCAAACAGGAUUAGAUACCCUGGUAGUCCACGCCCUAAACGAUGCCAACUAGUUGUUGGGGAAGGAGACUUCCUUAGUAACGAAGCUAACGCGUGAAGUUGGCCGCCUGGGGAGUACGGUCGCAAGAUUAAAACUCAAAGGAAUUGACGGGGACCCGCACAAGCGGUGGAUGAUGUGGAUUAAUUCGAUGCAACGCGAAAAACCUUACCUACCCUUGACAUGCCAGGAACUCUGCUGAGAGGUGGAGGUGCCCGAAAG